rnacentral:rRNA from 1 species
UACGUAGGGGGCGAGCGUUGUCCGGAAUUAUUGGGCGUAAAGGGUGCGUAGGCGGUCAGAUAAGUCAGAUGUGAAAUACCAGGGCUUAACUCUGGGGCUGCAUUUGAAACUAUUUGACUAGAGUGCAGGAGAGGGAAGCGGAAUUCCUAGUGUAGCGGUGAAAUGCAUAGAUAUUAGGAGGAACACCAGUGGCGAAGGCGGCUUUCUGGACUGCAACUGACGCUGAGGCACGAAAGCGUGGGGAGCAAAC